ACUGGCGCCCUGGCGGGAGGGGCGCGCGGUGCGUCUGCCGAGCUCCUCCUGAGGGCAGGCUGCUCCGCCACUGCACGUGCGCCGCAGGCCAUGGCGGCCUCAAUUAUCAGCCGGGAGCUCGGCGGGAUCUCGGGCCAGGAAAAAAUAGAUCUUUUAUUAGUUGGAGAUGUCACUGUUUGCUACCUGGCUGAUGAUAUACAGAAAUUCUUUCCAAGUUCAGCAGAAGUUACCAUCACCAUUAGUGAUGUGAAGAAGGCAGCUACACUUUUGGAUGACUGCACAUUUGACAUAGUUUUCUUGAAGAUAACUUCAUUCCUAACUGCUGAGGAGCUAGAAGCUAUCAAGUCAAUUAGAUUUGGCAUGAAGAAAAAUACAGAUUUACUGUUUAUUUUUAUAAUCCCUGAAAAAUUUAAAGGUUGUAUUUCAGGGCGUGGAGCUGAUGUUACUUUAACUGAACCAUUGACAAGGGAAAAACUGAGUAUUGUGGUAAAAUACUGGAAAAUGUAUUUCUCAAAUACUGUUAAGAAAGAAAAUUCUGCAAGGCCUGAAGAACAUGGAUCGCCCCUACCAAGUUCCUAUAGUGAACACCUGGGAUAUUUUUCUACUGAUCUAUUCACUUGCUCUGAAUCUCUAAAAAAUGACAUUGGUCUUGAAUUUAAAGUUCCGUUGUCAGAAUUUGAGAAAAGCAAACAGAUUUCUUUCCUUCAUUCAAGCAAAGAAAAGCUGAGAAGAGAACGAAUCAAGUAUUGCUGUGAGCAGCUGCGCAUUCUGUUGCCAUAUAUCAAGGGAAGAAAGAAUGACUCAGCUUCAGUUCUUGAGGCAACAGUUGAUUAUGUGAAGUAUGUCCGGGAGAAAAUCCCUCCAGCUGCCAUGAGACAGAUUACAGAAGCCCUUCAGAAUAAUAGGAGGUUUUGUAAGAAACAAAUGCCCAUCCAGCUAUCCCUCCCAUGCACAGUCAAGGCAGAAAGGGAAAACAAUGUAUUGGCAAGCACUUACUCACCUGUGAGAGGCAUCCAGUUCCUGGCUAAUAAGUGCUUGAAUGUGUAUUCCCUUCCUGCUGCAGGGGCCCCCUUGGAUGAAGCUGUGAGAGGUCAGUCAAGCUCCACUUCAGAGAGUGCAAUUGGUGAUCUGUAUAAAGCUCGAAUUUCCAGUGCAGCCCUCUCUCUUAAUUCCUUCCAUGCUGUCAGAUGUUAUUCUAAAGUCAUUCCUUCCUUUGAUGUAGCUGCUGUAACAAAUCAGAAUGUUCCAAUUCAUUUACCAUCAGCUGUACCCAAAGUAUCAAAGUUUCUUCCCCAGCACUGCAAUUCAGUGCUGGACCAGACAUGUGCAACACAUCCCAACUGUCCGGUCUGUUCUCAAGGCAGUUGCAAGAAGCAAGAGAACAAGUAAUAUAGUGCAAGUACAAGGGUGAUGUGUUACCUUCUCUGGAAUGACAGAAUUGAAGAUGAAGAAGAGAAUUGUUCCUUCAAGGCUGGCCUCAUCCAACACAACACAUCACAAUCAAAAUUUUGACAUUCCACUUGAAUUCCUACAAGGCCAUUUGCCUCCUUCCUAAGUAGCUUUUAGAUUGCUUCCUGAAACAGGUUAUUACAAAUGAAGAACAGAAAUACAAACUUACAUUUAUAAAGCACAAAUGUUUGCUACCCAGAAGAGCUCAAGGAGAGCUACUUUUGUAAUGAAUAAAAUCAAAGGAACUGGGUUAAACUACACUCACUGGAAACAGCAAUAAUAAUAGUAAAUAAUAGUGGGCCCUCAUGUACUAGAUAUUUUGUUAAGUACAUUCCAUUUUGCAUGUAUUUUCCUAUGUGAUGCCUACAAAAAUUAUAUGAGAAGAGUUUUCACUUACAUUUAACAAGAAGAAAACUAAGAUUCAUAGAAGUUGCUUAAAUUUCCCAAAGUUUCACAACUAGUGCAACAACAUGGGAUUUACACGGGUCCUGUAUGUGACAGACAUUACACAGGUUGAAUUUACAUCUAGGGUCAGAGUUUGUUAUCUGAAAUUUGAAUGGGACUGCUAAUAUGUGCAUACUUAGCCAACCUUUGGACCCUUACUUCACUUUUCAGUUUGGAUAUUAUUUCACUGAAUAAAGAGUUUGUUCCAUAGAAUCAGCUUUGUAAUGGACUCCAACAUGUUCUUGGACUAGAUUUGGAGUCUGAGGCAUAUCUUGGCAGGCUGAUGCUGUUGCUGAUCUCAGCUCACUGUUAGGACUCACAGACAAAAUCAGGCCAAAGUAUGAAAAGGCAUCCAUCCUCUGGAGAACUCUCCUUAGUCAGUGUACCUGCCAGAGAGAACACAUGUCCAGUUGGCCACUCAUGGGAAACUGUGGAUGAGUGUGAGGUAUUUCCCAGGCCAAAAGUGAGAAGAACAGAAGUGUAAGAAGACACACCAAUACCUAGUUUCCUACCAACAUAGAGAAGAACAAGAGCCCUGUCUCCUAGUCCCUAGAGAUAGAAAAAAAAAAUCGAGCCAACUCUAUUCAAAGCUAUUGUAAAAAGAGAAGAGAAAUAAAAAAUACAAAUCUAAAGUAAUGAAUACUCUUCCUCCAAAAACAAUAAUGAAAAUGAAAUGAGACCAAAAACAUAGAAAGGGUCAGCAGAAAAGUACUAAGUAACCAUCAGGCACAAAAAUGGUCCAAAACAUAUAUAAUGGAGUUUCUGAGGGAAAAACAAAAUAAUAUUUAAUUUAAUAUUAUUAAUAUUUACAACUAAAUAUAAGAAUAUUUCUGCAAAUAAGAGGAAACUGAAGUCUGUUUACUAAAAGGAAUGACCAAGUACCCAGAAUUUGACCUGAAAAGAUCAACUGUAAUACACAUCCAAGUAAAACAAAGAAAAGUCUUCAGGGCCUAGCAGUAAAAAGGUCACAUUAGCUAUAAAAGUAAGAGAAUCAGGCUGACAUUGUAUUUCUCAAGAGCAGCACACAAAGGAAGGCAGUUGUGGAACAAGAUUUUUUAAGAAACUCAGGAAAAUACAGGACAAGGCAAGGAUUUUUAAAAAAAUACUGCUAAGAUGUUCUCCAGGUAUCAAAACUAUUUCUUAAAAGCCAGUUUUGAAUGUGCAGCACUUCAAAUAAAACAUACUUUCUGAGGAGUCUGCUAAGGGUGAGCUUAUCCAACCAAAAUAUAACUGGGGAAGCUUUGGCAAAAGAUAGUGGGAAUUUAAUAUACUUAAAUAUAGAGCUAAUAUUAAUACAAAGAUGGAGAUGUUGAUGAAAAAAUGUGUAAAGGUAAUAUGUUUUGAUAAAGAAGAAAUGAUGCAAUUAAAAUGAAAUAAGUGGUGAUGAAGAGAAAAAAUAAGAUAACAUUCUUUUCUAUAAAUUGACAGAAAAUGAUAAAAGCUUAAAUUAGUAAAAAAGAUUAACAGAACUAUGACAAAAUACAAAGCACCCUCUAGAAUAAAAAUAAAAGCAUUCCUAAACAACAAAAUAAAUAUUUUAAAAAGAAAAUAAGAUACCAAAUAAAUAAAAAAGCAAAGUAAAUAUUAUCCAUACAAAAUCAUAUGAUGGACUUGAAACCAAACAAAUCAGACAUAUAAAUGUGAGUUGAUUUAACUCACCUUUCAAAAGAAAAUGGUUUUCAAUGUUGA